rnacentral:rRNA from 1 species
CAGGGUUCAACAUGUACUCCUGAUUGUGAUGAUAACUUAAAACCAGACUUGGGUAUGACAUUUGACAGUAUGGAAGAUGUUGAGAUUUUUUACAAGGCUUAUGCACACAAUAUUGGAUUUUCAGUCAGAAUUGGGCAGAAAAAGACAAUAGAUGAUGUGGUGGUCUGGAGGCGAUUUCUUUGUUCAAAAGAAGGUUUCCGAACUAAGAAGGAGGAGGAACGCAAGAAGGAUUUGAAGGGAGGGAAGAUAAGAACACAUGCAAGAAAGAUUACUAGAUGUGGUUGUGAAGCCAUGAUAACUGUCAAGCGUAUGCAGGAUGGCAAAUACUCAAUAUCAGAUUUUCACGAAGAACACACCCAUCAAUUUAUCACACCCACCAAGCAACAUUUAAUCAAGUCUAAUAGAGAAGUCAGCGAGAAGGCCAAGACCACACUAUUCACAUGUCACGCAGCUAGUAUUGGCACAUCUGGAGCCUUUCGAUUGCUUCGUGUUGGUGAGGGUGGAUUUCAGUUUGUGGGGUGCACGAAGAGAGACUUGCAGAAUUAUCACCGUGACAUGAGAAGUACUUUCAAGGAUACAGAUGCUCAAAUGUUUAUUGACAACCUCAGAAAGAGGAAGCAAAUCAACCCAGGAUUCUUCUUUGAUUAUGUUCUUGAUGAUAAAAAUCAAUUGAAACGUGUGUUUUGGGCAGAUGCAUUUUGUAGAAAGAAUUAUGCUUUAUUUGGAGAAAUGGUGUCUUUUGACUCCACAUACAGCACAAAUCAGUACAAGAUGAUUUUUUGUCCAUUCACGGGAAUAAACCACCAUAUGGGAUCUGUUUUCUAUGGUGUUGUCUUGAUUGUUGAUGAGAAAGAAGAGUCGUACAAAUGGGUGUUUGAAACAUUUUUGAAAGCCAUGGAUGGGGCAGCACCGAGGCUUAUAGUAACCGAUGAAUAUGCUAGCAUGAAGGCUGCCAUUGAUAUAGUUAUGCCAAACACCGUCCAUAGGCUAUGCAUGUGGCACAUAAUGAGAAAGCUUCCGGAAAAGGUUGGUCCUUCACUGAAAGAGGAUGAGCAUUUUUACAACUCAUUUAAUGCAUGUGUAUGGGGUUCUGAAAGCCCAGCUGAAUUUGAGGCAAAGUGGUCUUCCAUGAUUUCUGAAUUUGGUCUUGAAGAAAACACAUGGUUUGCUAGGAGAUAUGAAAUUCGUGAAUCAUGGAUACCAGCCUACUUUAGAGGUGUAUUCUUGGGUGAAACUCUGAGAACCACUUCGAGGUCAGAGAGUGCUAACUCAUUCUUUAAUCACUUUAUUGGUUACAAGCAUGCUUUGGUGGAGUUUUGGAUUAGGAUUGGAACAGCCCUGGAAGAACAACGUCCGAAUGAACUCAAGGCUGAUCAUGAUUGCCUCAACUCCAUGUCUCCACUGAUUACAUCAUGGGAGAUCGAGAAGCAUGCAAGCCUAUACUUCACCCAUGAGGUUUUCAAAGCUUUUCAGAAGGAGGUGCGUGCGGCUAGAGAUCACUGCUUAAUUGAAAGCAUAUUGUAGGAGGGUGAUGUGAAAACCACGGUUGUAGGAGGUGAUCACUCUUACAAGUCCAGAGAAGUUAAGUUCAACACAACAUCCAUGAGUGCUCACUGCUCUUGCAUGUUAUUUGAGACACGUGGAAUUCCAUGCCGACAUAUCAUCGUGGUUUUGAGAGGUGCAAAAAUUAAUGAGCUACCAAGCCAUUUCAUUCUAGAUAGGUGGAAGAAAACAGUUAACAGGAGGUCACUAUACGAUAGUGGUGGCAACUUGCUUGAAUAGAACGAGAAGUUACUGCCAAUAAUCCUAGUAGACAAGAUGAAUUCGAGGCAUACAUUGGUUGUAGUAUGCCUAAUGAAGUUGAAAUUUAUCCACCAACUGAUGUGCAUACAAAGGGGAGGUGCAAAAGAAUUAAGGGACACUUAGACAAGGGUGGAGAAGGGAAACAAAAAAAGGAUGGAGAAGGGAAGCAAAAUAAAAAUGGAGAGCGGAAGAAAAAUGCCGGAGGACCGAAAAAGCCUCGCACGUGUGGGACUUGUAAGCAGAUUGGCUUCCAUGAUACUCGUAGUUGCCCCAACAAGAAUUAAGAACCGAAUAGGUAUUUUCCCCAACAAAUUGGCAACAUAUUUCAUAGUUCUUAUCUAUGUAUAUUCGCUUUCAAAAAGUGACUAUAUAUUCCAUUAUAACUGA